rnacentral:rRNA from 1 species
UACGAACCGUGCGAACGUUAUUCGGAAUCACUGGGCUUAAAGGGUGCGUAGGCUGCGAGGAGGGUGGGGUGUGAAAUCCCUCGGCCUAACCGAGGAAUUGCGCUCCAAACCGCCUUGCUGGAGUGAGACAGAGGUGAGCGGAACUAAUGGUGGAGCGGUGAAAUGCGUUGAUAUCAUUAGGAACACCAGAGGCGAAGGCGGCUCACUGGGUCUCAACUGACGCUGAUGCACGAAAGCUAGGGUAGCGAACGGG